UACAGAGGGCUCAAGCGUUGUUCGGAUUCAUUGGGCGUAAAGGGUGCGUAGGCGGCGCGGUAAGUCGGGUGUGAAAUCUUGGAGCUUAACUCCGAAACUGCAUUCGAUACUGCCGUGCUUGAGGACUGGAGAGGAGACUGGAAUUUACGGUGUAGCGGUGAAAUGCGUAGAUAUCGUAAGGAAGACCAGUGGCGAAGGCGGGUCUCUGGACAGUUCCUGACGCUGAGGCGCGAAGGCCAGGGGAGCAAACGGG
rnacentral:rRNA from 1 species